UACGUAGGGUGCGAGCGUUAAUCGGAAUUACUGGGCGUAAAGCGUGCGCAGGCGGUUCGACAAGUCCGAUGUGAAAGCCCCGGGCUCAACCUGGGAAUGGCAUUGGAAACUGGCGGGCUGGAGUGUGGCAGAGGGGGGUGGAAUUCCGCGUGUAGCAGUGAAAUGCGUAGAGAUGCGGAGGAACACCGAUGGCGAAGGCAGCCCCCUGGGCUGACACUGACGCUCAGGCACGAAAGCGUGGGGAGCAAACAGG
rnacentral:rRNA from 1 species